rnacentral:rRNA from 1 species
UACGUAGGAGGCGAGCGUUGUCCGGAGUUACUGGGCGUAAAGGGUGCGUAGGCGGCUGCGCGCGUGGGGGGUGAAAUCUCUCGGCUUACCCGGGAGGGGGCUUUCCAGACGGCGUGGCUUGAGGGACGGAGAGGGGCGUGGAAUUCCUGGUGUAGCGGUGAAAUGCGCAGAUAUCAGGAAGAACACCUAUGGCGAAGGCAGCUCUCUGGGACGGUACUGACGCUGAGACGCGAAAGCGUGGGGAGCGAACAGG